AGUGAACGCUGGCGGCAGGCCUAACACAUGCAAGUCGAGCGGCAGCGCGUCCGACCACCCUCGGGUGGUCGGAUGGCGGCGAGCGGCGGACGGGUGAGGAAUGCAUCGGAAUCUGCCUCGUUGUGGGGGAUAACGUAGGGAAACUUACGCUAAUACCGCAUACGACCUACGGGUGAAAGUGGGGGACCUUCGGGCCUCACGCGAUGAGAUGAGCCGAUGCCGGAUUAGCUAGUUGGCGGGGUAAAGGCCCACCAAGGCGACGAUCCGUAGCUGGUCUGAGAGGAUGAUCAGCCACACUGGAACUGAGACACGGUCCAGACUCCUACGGGAGGCAGCAGUGGGGAAUUUUGGACAAUGGGCGCAAGCCUGAUCCAGCCAUGCCGCGUGCGGGAAGAA
rnacentral:rRNA from 1 species